GCAAAGCUAGAAGUACAAGUUGCGAGGGAGGGGUUUAGCGAACUCAUCCAGGAUUGUCUUAAAUAUUAGGCAAAUGUUAAAUAUACUUCACUUAAAAUUAUUUUAAAUCCGGGAUAAAUGCUAAUAAGACCUUCUGAAAACAGCUGUAACCUUUACUCGUCAGGAAUUUGCAAUUGAAAUGGGCUGAAUUCCUUCUGUGGAUAAUAUUAACGUGCUAAUAGAGCAAGAAAACCCUGCAGACUUGCCUCCGAAAUCAUUCUUGCUCAGUGCCUGUGAUGAAUUUUGGUAACAAAGAGAACAAUAUCCAAAUGGUCUCCUGUUCGCCAGCUCAGGCAGGCCAACUCUGAGGCCAGCAACAUUGCAAUGACACCUGCCCAACGAUGGGAAAACCUGUUCUCUAUGUGGAAAGCCAUUGACCUAAUUAUCCAAUCCGCGGAGUUCCUGCUUUCCCCUAAAUCAGCAAGAAGAAUUAAGGGCAAGAGAAAACAGCUCAUCCUAACUUCCCAGCACCUCCCUCUAGCGGCUGACUAAAUUUAGCUAUCGACAGCAGCUCUUGACAAAGGAAAGAAGGCUUGUUUAUUUGGGUGCUGUGCACAAGUGUCCAUCUCUCCAGUACCCAGGCUUUGGUUCUUAGGCAUCCAGCUCCCUUUAUCCAGGCAUCCUCCCUAAGGAAAGAUGGAACUAGAGAUGGCAACGACUCCUUUUGGACCCCAGGUUGACUCCAGUCAGGUCUCAGCAUGUCAUCACGGCUAUCAGACUGCUCCUUGCAAUAAAUCAGCUGAUACCAGCGCCCCUCACUCAUGCUCUCCCCCAGGGUAUGUCCAUCCUCCUAAGCAGAGCCUACUUCUCAUCAGCUUAUUUGCUCCUAAAAUCUAUAUACUCCUAAUUGCCCUAAUUUUACAGAGGAUCAUUAUCUUAGCAAGGUAACAUAUCGAAUUGAUGAUGAUGAUGUCAGUAAUGGUAAUGAUAGUAGUACUGAAGAUGUAAUGAUGCUCUUUUUUCUUCUGCAAAUUUUUCUGAGUACUGAACAGGGCCACUGCUAGCCUAUACCCUAUCUUUUUGUGAAUGCAAAAGAGGUGACCCUUUCUCAGACAGGCACAGCCCCACACCCUGGAGCCCUGCUAUGCAAGUGGACUACAAGCUUGACUUCAGCUCCCUCUAACCAUCUCUGUAGGAUAUCCUUGUGCAGGGAUCUACCUACACACCUGUAUGCAAUGGUGCUCGUGUGGGCAACAGCCUGAAUAAACAGUAAAAGACUAGGCAGCCUGCAAGAAAGAGGCAAGUCUGUGUUUAUAUUUGGGCAGGGGAAAAGCAGCUAUAUGGUGUGGAAGAGAAGUUGGUUGCAUUGUCUUGACAUUUCCUACCUCC
rnacentral:lncRNA from 10 species